CCUACGGGAGGCAGCAGUGAGGAAUAUUGGUCAAUGGCCGAGAGGCUGAACCAGCCAAGUCGCGUGAGGGAAGACGGCCCUACGGGUUGUAAACCUCUUUUGUCGGGGAGCAAAGCGAACCACGUGUCGUUCAUUGAGAGUACCCUAAGAAAAAGCAUCGGCUAACUCCAUGCCAGCAGCCGCGGUAAUACGGAGGAUGCGAGCGUUAUCCGGAUUUAUUGGGUUUAAAGGGUGCGCAGGCGGAGGUGCAAGUCAGCGGUCAAAUUGCGGGGCUCAACCCCGUGCUGCCGUUGAAACUGCAUCGCUUGAGUGCGCGAGAAGCAGGCGGAAUGCGUGGUGUAGCGGUGAAAUGCAUAGAUAUCACGCAGAACUCCGAUUGCGAAGGCAGCAUACCGGGGCGCAACUGACGCUCAUGCACGAAAGCGUGGGUAUCGAACAGGAUUAGAUACCCUUGUAGUC
rnacentral:rRNA from 1 species